AGCUCCAAUAGCGUAUAUUAAAGUUGUUGCAGUUAAAAAGCUCGUAGUUGGAUUUGUGGUUUGUCCGUCCGGCUGGGCCUUUAUUGGCCUUUGCUGUGUUGGUCAUCCAUCCUUGGGUGGAUCCUGUGUGGCAUUAGGUUGUCGCGCAGGGGAUGCCCAUCGUUUACUGUGAAAAAAUUAGAGUGUUCAAAGCAGGCUUAUGCCGUUGAAUAUAUUAGCAUGGAAUAAUGAUAUAGGACCUUGGUACUAUUUUGUUGGUUUGCGCAUCGAGGUAAUGAUUAAUAGGGACAGUUGGGGGUAUUCGUAUUCCAUUGUAAGAGGUGAAAUUCUUGGAUUUUUGGAAGACGAACUACUGCGAAAGCAUUUACCAAGGAUGUUUUCAUUAAUCAAGAACGAAAGU
rnacentral:rRNA from 1 species